AUCUUGCAAAUAUUUCGAUUUCGUGCAAUAUAUUUCUUUAAUAAAAUGUAAGUAAGCACGGUGGAGUAAGUCCCUUAUUCGCAAAAUUUAAAUCCAUUUUAUCAAGAUUACAUGCACCAUACACAUAGGAUUAAACUCCACGCAAAAGAAAAGAUACAAAAUUAUCCAUACCGUGGCUCGAGCACUUUUCACGCCUGAGAUGAGACGGACGUAUACUCGAUCGCUGAAGAGAGAGAAAGAGCAUGAUGGAGCAUAAAAAAACCUGCGUGCAGAAAGUGCAAGCAGAGAGAAACCGGAGAGAAGAUAUGAGCCUUUUUCUUGUAACCGUAAAAUGUCCUCGCAUUCUACUGCCCUCUGAAGAAGUGGAUCUAAAUUACACAACAAUAUCUACUUUUUUUACGAUGCUCCUGAUGGAAAUAAAUUGCUGGAUUUGAA